GUGCUCACUUCUGCAGCACAUAUGUUAAAAUUGGAAUGAUACAGAGAAGAUUAGCAUGGGCCCUUUGCAAGGAGGACAUGCAAGUUUGUGAAGCAUUCCAUACUUUU
ensembl:snRNA U6 U6 spliceosomal RNA